GCCGGGAUGGUGGAAUUGGUAGACGCACCGGACUCAAAAUCCGGCGGGCUUAGGCCCUUGCGGGUUCGAGUCCCGCUCCCGGCA
rnacentral:tRNA from 2 species